GUGCCCCUUCCCAGCCACCUGGAGUCCAGACCCACCCGCUGGACGAGGCCAUUGGGCCAGAAGGGGCUGCUCCCAAAGAGGGCUCUGCUGGCCUGGAGCAGGGGACAGUGUGCAGCUAGAAGCUUGGGGUGAGGGGGGGCAGCGCAGGACUGUGAUGGACGGUCGUGGAGACCUUUGGGGGACAUUGUGGCUUGCUCACGGGUUCCCCGGUGACUGUGGGUCACCAACUUGAUGGACUGAGAAACGCGAGGACACUGGCCAGGCACAUUUGAGGUGGGAGGGUGUUUCUGGAGCGGAUUGGCACAUGAGUUGGUGCUGCCCAGGGUGGGGACUCUCAGAGAGGCGCCUGGCAGGAAAGGGAAGGGAGGUCACGCAUGCACCUGCUGGAGCCUCUGCACGGGGCUUGUGCAGUUGUAGCCUUUGCGUGAGCGCAUGCGUUUGCUCAGAGCCUUCACGUGGGCGCAUGCGCUUGCCGGAGCCAUUGCAUGGGGCUCGGGCAGCUGGAGCUUUCACGUGGGCGCAUGCGCCUGUUGGAGCCUUCGCGCGGGGCUUGUGCCGCUGAGCCUUUGCGCAGGCGCAUUCAUUUGCUCAGAGCCUCGGUGCGAGCUGGAGCCUUCGCGCGGGCGCACGUGUUCCCAGGAGCCUUCGCGCGAGGCUUGUGCAGCUGGAGCCUUUGCAUGUGAGCAUGCGCUUGCUGAGUCUUUGCGCGGGCGCAUGCGUUCGCUGGAAUUUUCGCGAGGGCGCAUGCGCUUUGUGCUCUCCAGCCUGCCUGAGGUACUCCUCUCUGGCCGCCAUUGCCGAGGGACCUCUGAAGCCGGCUUCUUCAGCCC
rnacentral:lncRNA from 1 species